UCUAAUAACUACCAUCUGGUUUCUGUACAAAUUGUAAAUAGCCUUUCGCUCCCUGUAUUUUACCCCUGAUACCUUCAGACUUUGAAAGAGAGUAUUCCAGUCAACAUUGUCAAAAGCUGUCUCUAAGUCUACAAAUGCUAGAAACAUAGGUUUGCCUUUCCUGAAUCUAGUUUCUAAGGUAAGUCGUGUGCUCAGUAUUGCCUCAUGUGUUCCAAAAUUUCUACGGAAUCAAAACUGAUCUUCCCCGAGAUUGGCUUCUACCAGUUUUUCCAUUCGUCUGUAAAGAAUUCGCGUUAGUAUUUUGCGGCUGUGACUUAUGAAACUGAUAGUUCGGUAAUUUUCACAUCUGUCAACACCUGCUUUCUUUGGGAAUGGAAUUAUUAUAUUCUUCUUGAAGUCUGAGGCUAUUUUGCCUGUCUCAUACAUCUUGAUCACCAGAUGGAGGAGUUUUGUCAGGACUGGCUCUCCCAAGGCCAUCAGUAGUUCUAAUGGAAUGUUGUCUACUCCCGGGGCCUUGUUUCGACUCAGGUCUUUCAGUGCUCUAUCAAACUCUUCACACAGUAUUGUACCUCCCAUUUCAUCUUCAUCUACAUCCUUUUCCAUUUCCAUAAUAUUGUCCUCAAGUACGUUGCCCUUGUAUAGACCCUCUAUAUACUCCUUCCACCUUUCUGCUUUCCCUUCUUUGCUUAGAACUGGGUUUCCAUCUGAGCUCUUGAUUUUCAUACAAGUGGUUCUCUUUUCUCUAAAGGUCUCUUUAAUUUUCCUGUAGGCAGUAUCUAUCUUACCCCUAGUGAGAUAAGCCUCUACAUCCUUACAUUUGUCCUCUAGCCAUCCCUGCUUAGCCAUUUUGCACUUCCUGUGAUCUCAUUUUUGAGACGUUUGUAUUCCUUUUUGCCUGCUUCAUUUACUGCAUUUUUAUAUUUUCUCCUUUCAUCAAUUAAAUUCAAUAUUUCUUCUGUUACCCAAGGAUUUCUACUAGCCCUCGUCUUUUUAACUACUUGAUCCUCUGCUGCCUUCACUACUUCAUCCCUCAGAGCUACCCAUUCUUCUUCUACUGUAUUUCUUUCCCCCAUUCCUGUCAUUUGUUCCCUUAUGCUCUCCCUCAAACUCUCUACAACCUCUGGUUUAGUCAGUUUAUCAAAGUGCCCUGUCCUUGAUUCCCCACCCUGCUUAGUGCAUUUAAAUUUGGCAGUAUUGGUACUGUUUAGUCGCCACAUCUUUUUGCUGCCGAGUGUUCUGAGAGUGGUGGGAGAAGGACAUUUGCGGCUGCGGAGAUGUGCUGGGAGACAUUGUAAUUCAGUGCCAGCAACUUGGCAAGUCCUAAAGACUGUUUGCUGUGGCAUGCAUUAUGCACAGAACUAGCUCAUAUGAGGUCUGUCCAAAAGAAAUUGCAAUUUCUUGCCAAUGGAGUGAAAUGUGGUUGGCAUCCCUUCGUACGCCUGUGUCUAAUGUGUAACUGCCGGAAGUUUCAUUGUCGUGUGUCUGUUAGUUAUUGUUCAGUCGUGUACUGAGUAGAAUGUUGUGUCACACACUUUGAGAAUUUCGAGAUAGAGUUAGUGGAGAAACGUGCCUGCAUUAAAAUUUUGUGUGAAAGUCAAGAAAAUUUUUGCAGAGACACACCAAAUGAUGCAGGAAGCCCACAGUGAUGAGUGCUUAAGCGGUACUCGGUGUUACGAACGGUUCACACAGUAUAAAAAUGGCCGGAUAGAAGUUAAAGAUGACACACAUUCAAGAUGCCCUUCAACUUCUACCGAUGAUGCACAAAUCAGGAACGUCAAUGAAACUGUGAUGCUAAUCGACGGCUGAUUGUCCAAGAAAUUGCGGAACAAUGUGUGAUUUCAGUUGGAUCAUGUCAUGAAAUCCUGACACUGUACCUUGCAAUGCACUGUAUUGCCGCCAAGUUCGUCCCAUGCUCAUGGGUCAAGACCAGAAAGAUCUUCACCAGGCAAUCUGUGAAGAGCUUUUGGACUGUGCAAGUGAGAACAAGAUGUUCCGUAAGAGAAUCAUAGCUGGUGAUGAGAUGGGGUCUAGAGUUAUGAGUUGAGACCAAGAUUCAAUCUUCACAGUGGGUCAGAAAUAUUUUCCAAGACCAAAAAAAGCCCAUCAGGUCAGAUGUCAAAGCCAUGCUGAUAGUUUUCUUUGACUUUGAAGGGUUAGUUCAUUAUGAAUUCCAUGCCACACGUCAGUGGUAUUGUCGGGACAUGUUCCACCGCCUGUGAGAAGGAAACAGCCUGAAAUGUUUCUAGACUAUUGGUGGCUCUUGCAUCACAAUAGCGCACCUACACAUUCAUCCAUGUUGGUGCAUAACUAUUGCACAAAAAGCAAAAUCAGUGUGCUGCUUCAUCUUGCGUACUCUCCAGACCUGUCUCCUAUGGAUGUUAUUUUUUUUUUAUUUCCAAAUUUGAAAACCCCAUUGAAAGGACAAAGAUUUGCAACAAUAGGUGAGAUUCAAGAAAAUUUGCGAUCCAGCGAGGGGCAUCCCAACAGUGCUUCCGGAAGUGUAAGUGACGUUGUGAGCGGUGUAUCAAUUGUGGAGGAGAAUAUUUUGAAGGAGACCAUGCACAAUAAGUAAAAGGUAAGCGUUGAAGAAAUUUUAUGCACACAGUUCCUGAAGUUUUUGAACAGAUCUUGUAUAGGUCGGCAGUAGCACUGACAACAGCUGACUUCUGUAGCCACCAAACAGUAAACCGAACAGCGCGAAACUCAAUCCCUGUGUUCUCAGUCUGUGAUUUUCUCUUUUAUUGAGCAGUGUGCUACUAUGUCAUGGAUAAAAAAACAGUGACACAGUUGAACAACAAAGGAAAGUGAAACAUUAUUCAGGAAGUGUACGAAAAUUCGCAUAUGGAGUAUGCUGGUAUUUCGCGAAAACGGACUCGAAGUUAGCGGGGCUCACAACUCUUAAUGUCAAGCCGCCGAGGACGUCAUACUCAGUGAGUAGGCCUAUUCAAGACCUGAAAAUGAUGGCAAUAUAUAUGAGUAUUGUCAAAUAUGUUACACACUCUGUUUGUGUUUGCACUCCGGUCACAUAGCGGGAGAUUCGGAUGUGCCUGGGAGCAUAUGUAUGAGCUUUUGUCUGACAAAGGAAGUUCAUGGACCGAGCAUGUUCGAUUUUCUUUACGUAUAUUUAUUGGAUUUGAAAGUCUGUACGCAGACAUCAGUUUCCUAAAGCAGUGCAACAAAAAGAAAAACGUAAAAAAGUUGCCUCCAAAAAUGAGAUGAUACUCAACCAAAGAAAUUGCAAAAAACUUUGCAGGUCUCCAGUCAAUGCCACCUAGGAACAAGGAGCCUGAGACGUUACGGAUAGGGGUCUGAGAAGCUAGGUACCAACACAUGUGAUUCGAAGCAUUUCCACAUUGUAGUUUGUGCUGACUGUGAGUGGUUAUUUGAUCUAUACUCAGUUACAAUGCCCCGAAGGUGUUGUAUGCCGAAUUGCAGGAGCAAUUACGAUAAUGGACCUAAAGUCAGUGUAUUUUAUUUUCCAUCUGAUGAGAAUUUAAGACGAAAAUGGUUAUCGGCCGUUCACAGACAAGACUGGACACCGAGUAAGCACUCUGUUGUAAGUAUCAGUGUGUGUGUUUGGUUAGUGUGUCGUAGUUAGUUGAAAUGUAGUCCAGCUGAACAAAAUACAGUAAACAGAAGCAUGUAUUUAUAAUCUCAUACAUCAUUAAUUUUCGUUAUAUGUUUUAAAGAGAACUGUAUGCUUAUUUUUAGAUAUGUGAAUUGCAUUUCAACAAGGACGAUAUUUUAAGCAGUACCAGCAUGUAUGACCCGAAAACUGGUACACUCUUGACAGCACCAUUGGAUCGUCGGCGUUUGAGAAAAGAUGCUAUCCCAUCGAAGUUGCGUGGAUGCUUAUCUUGUCGAGUCAUCAAACUGCAGUACGAGAGGACCCAGAAAUUCAUAGGGGGCGUUUAGAAAAUCGUGCUCUUCAAAUUGCUAUCCAAGAGAGAGUGGACACACUUGCGAAAAUGGUUGAUGCGAUAUCGUUCGAUAGUUUAGAACAACUGAAAAUGAAGUUGAGUGAAUGUUAAAAGUACAGUGACUGGGUAGUGAUGAACAAAUCUGACAGUGUGAGCCUAGUGUUACUAAAGCAUAAUCCUUACCCAAAAAAUUUUUGCCACGUUGUUAUAAGCAGUGGUUUAUUACUUAGUGUCUUCAAUAAUAAUAUUGAAAUUAAAUGUAUUGGAAACAUGAAAUUUCCCAUGAAAGUAAACAACAUACAGGUGGUAAGUGAUGUUCUUAAGAUCAUUUACCUUCUGUGUAAUAGUUUUGAGGCUCCUGUAGAUAACAUUUUGUCUUUAAUUGACCAGUUAUUGCAAAAUUUAUUAGAGAAUUUGACAGGAAACGAAACUAAAAUUAUAUUUUUGAACGAACAGAUUUCAUUUUUGAAGUGCAGAAGUUCAACUCAAUUUAGGUAUGGUACUAACUCUACGAUAAUGUGGUCAUUAUUACAUUCUAUUAGCCAACAUGCUUACAAAUUUUUGAGGAACAGUGAUAGUUUUUCUAUGCAUAGUCCUAACACCCUUUCAAGGCUUUGUAGUACACUCUCAACAAAUCCUGUCAUUGAGCAACAGGGUGAUCAGUUUAUGAGCUACAUCACAUAGUAAGUAAGUACUUUACCCUCAGAUGAUAAAACUGUGCUCCUGUUGAAGGAUGAAAUUCAUCUGAAGUCUCAGCUUUAUUUCAAAGCUGGAAAUGUUGUAGGAUGUGCCUUUAACACUGACAGGUUUUUGUGUGCAACCAGUGCCUAUGUUUUUAUGCUUCAGAGCAUGGAAUCACCUUACAAAGAUGUGGUGUCUAUUCUGCCAGUUCAUACUAUUCAGGGUGGCGUUUUAUUGUCUUACAUUAAAGCAGUAAUUCUUAAAUUAGAAGCAGUUGGAAUUGAGGUGGUUGAUAUUGUAGCAGACAAUAAUGCAAUUAACAAGAAAGUAGUGUCUAAGUUUUUUACUCCUCCAGAUGUGAAAAUAAAGUAUGAUCACCCUGUACAAUCUUCUCCAAAUCACCCAUUGUAUUAUUUUUUGGACACUGUCCAUAUUUUGAAGUGUAUCCGCAAUAACUGGUUUUAACAAAAGGAGCAGAUCUUGUGUUUUCUUUACAGUUUGAAGGGAGGUUUGUCAUCUGUUGGAGCACUGAAAGAAUUGCACACGCAAUAGAAAAGGAAAAAGACCAUUUUUUUUACAAAGCACCUGGCAUUCGGCACAGUUUGGUCUAUCAACUACUCAUAUGAUUUUGAACACAUCCCUGUUGGUUUUUGAACAUUUUGGAAUAAAUUCUAAGUUGAUUGCUGAAUGAACCAUAAGUUGAUUUUUGAACGCGUCCAUAGUGUACGUGAUGUCUCUGCCAGGGGAAUCCCCGUCACAUCUAGAAAUAAACUUUCCUGCAGACAAAAGGGGACAGGUCUAUAAGGGCUGAGCAGAAUAAAGGCAAACGGGUGAAUGUCAGUCACUUUCUAUGCGGUUGACUGGGUUUGUAAAUUAUCAGUGUUGCUACAAUUACUAGCAAAUUCCAUAGAUUCAGACUACCAGAGCGGAAAUAAACGACUAACAGGAAUAACAGGCAACAAAGAUUACGUAUUAUCUUCUCCGUGCAAUCAAGAAAGUGAAAUUUUGACAGAAAAUCUUUGGCCAGAUCACUACACUAUAGUGAUGGGCUAAACUGCGAUUUUCCGAUAUCAGUGAUUUCUGUGAAUGCUACUUUUCAAUAUCUGCUAUUCUUAACUGUGAUUUGUCACAGUUAAAAGAGUUGCAGUUAAGGAACGUAGGUCGCGUAUCCCUCCGCCACUGCUAUUUCUGCUACUUCCGCGAUUUCUGCUACUUCUGCGACUUACCACCGUAUGAAAAAGUUACAUCUGCCCACACAGAAAAUUGCAUUUCAACAAAUCUGUCAUUGGUACCCAAACUACAUUUCAGUCACUCAGUAAAUUGAUAACUCAAAAUAUCAUUGUCAACAGAUCUGGAGAAAUUGCCACUGCAUCUUUAGACUGUUUCCAUCAGGCGAGAGACACAGUUCUGACUCCUGAUUACUGGUUGCUGUACGUAUCUAUACACAUCAAGGCUAUUGAGAGAGACUCGUGAAGAUUCAACACAGCUCUUAGAGGAUUUGCAGUUUAAAAGUGACAUAAUUUUGAAAUAAGUGUGCAGAUGAGUGAUUAAACUGUGUUUUAUUGAAGUUGUUAUACGAUUUUAAAGGAAUAAUAAAUGUUAAAUACAGUGAUUGAA